GCAGAGGGAGAAGCAGACUCCUCACUGAGCAGGGAGCCCAAUGUGGGGCUACAUCUCAGGACCCCAGGAUCAUGACCUGAACCGAAGGCAGACACUUCCCUUAUUCUUCAAAAGAAAAAUAACUGAUUUCUUCUAGAAAGAAAGUGGGUGAUAUUUACAGAAUUAAAGGUUGGGCACAUCAGUAGCUGAAAGCCUCUUCUGACCAUGGUCAGCCCCAGGAAAGUUGGUUUUAAAGGAGUACCUGAGGCAAAUACUUACAGUCACAUAUCGGAAAAGCUUUGCCAAGCACUUGAAACUCAACAUAGCUGAUAAUACUGGUAUCGUCCCUUAUAUUUCUGUAAAACCACAUCUAGAGAACCCAUACACGGAUCUGUUAUCAGUUCUGUGUUUCUACACAGUGAGAAUGAACAAUCCAAGAAGAAAAUUAAGACAACAAUCCAUUUAUAAUGGCAUAAAAAAAUUUAGGAGUAAACUUAACCAAGGAAGUGGAAAAUCUAUACACUACAAACCAUAAAACAUUGUGAAAAGAAACUAAAGAAGACACAAAUAAAUGGAAAGAUGUUAUAUGUUUGUACCUUGGAACAUUUAACAUUGCUAAAAUGUCCAUAUUACCCAAAGCUACAGAUUCAAAACCCUUCUGUUUAAAAUCCUAAUGGCAUAUUUUUUUUCAGAAAUAGAAAAAAGAUCCUACAAUUCAUAUGGAAUCUCAAAUUGCCUGAAUUGAAAAAAAAAAUCUUGACAAACAAGAACAAAGUUGGAGGCCUCACACUUCCUGCAUUCAAAACAUAUGACAGUGCUACUGUGAUCAGAAUAGGUGCUGGCAUGAAGACAGACACAGAGACCUAUGGGAUAGAACAGAAAGCCCAGAAAUCAACCUUUGUGCAUAUGGUCAAGUGAUCUUCAACAGAGUGCCAAGACCACACGUUGGGGGAAAGGACAGCAUCUUCAACAAAUGCAGUAUUUGCACAACCGGAUAGAUAUUCACAUGUGUGAAGAUUGAAGGUAAAUACCUUACACUAUAUUUAAAAAUUAACUCAAAAUGGAUUAAAGACCUAAACAGAAGACUUAAAACCACAAAACUCCUGGAAGAAAACACAGGAGAAAAUCUUCAUGGCAUUGGAUUUGGCAACGAUUUAUCGGAUAUGACACCACAAGAACAGGCGACAAAAGCAAAAACAGACAAAUGGGAAUACAUCACACUUUAAACCUUCUGUGCAUUAAAGGUUACAAUCAACAGAGUGAAAAGGCAAUCUAGAGAAUGGGGGGAAAUCAUAGCAAUUAUAUAUCUGAUAAGGGGAUUAAUGUCUAGAAUGUAUAAAGAACUCCUAUUACUCAACAACAAAAAAUGAAAUAACUCAAUUGAAAAAUAGGCAAAGGGCUUGAAUAGACAUUUCUCAAAGAAGAUACACAAAUGGCCAAAAUGCAUAUGAAAAGAUGCUUAACAGCACUACUCAUUAGAGAAAUGCAAGUUAGAAUCACAAUGAGGUAUCACUUCAUACCCAUCAGGAUAGGAACUAUAAAAAACACAAAAUACAAAAUAAGAAAUAUUGGUGAGGAUGUGGGAAAAUUGGAACCAUUGUGCAAUAUGGUGGAAAUGUAAAUGGUGCAACCACUAAGCAAAAUGGUAUGUAGUUUCCUCAAAAAACCAAAAAUAGAAUUACUGUAUGAUUCAGCAAUCCCACUUCUAGGUAUAUAUCCAAAAGACUUUAUUUAUUAUUUUUUUAAAAGAUUUUAUUUAUUCAUUCAUCUGA